UACCUACCAGGGUAGAAUCAGAAGAAGAAAAAAGUGCAAAACAACCUUAGGACCAAAACCAAAAUUCACAACCACCAAUGGGGUCACAUAAGAGAGAGGAACCCAAACCAGAUAAACCACACACACCAUAAAUAAAAGAUUUUUCAACAUACCAGUAUCAGCAUCAAUAGAUGCCUCGAACUCCCUAGGGAUAGUAAGAGCAUUGAGACAAUCCUG
rnacentral:lncRNA from 1 species